UGGGGAAUAUCGCACAAUGGGCGAAAGCCUGAUGCAGCAACGCCGCGUGAGUGAUGAAGGUCUUCGGAUUGUAAAGCUCUGUCUUUUGGGACGAUAAUGACGGUACCAAAGGAGGAAGCCACGGCUAACUACGUGCCAGCAGCCGCGGUAAUACGUAGGUGGCGAGCGUUGUCCGGAUUUACUGGGCGUAAAGGGUGCGUAGGCGGAUGUUUAAGUGAGAUGUGAAAUACCCGGGCUUAACUUGGGUGCUGCAUUUCAAACUGGAUAUCUAGAGUGCAGGAGAGGAGAAUGGAAUUCCUAGUGUAGCGGUGAAAUGCGUAGAGAUUAGGAAGAACACCAGUGGCGAAGGCGAUUCUCUGGACUGUAACUGACGCUGAGGCACGAAAGCGUGGGUAGCAAACAGGAUUAGAUACCCUGGUAGUCCACGCCGUAAACGAUGAGUACUAGGUGUAGGAGGUAUCGACCCCUUCUGUGCCGCAGUAAACACAUUAAGUACUCCGCCUGGGAAGUACGAUCGCAAGAUUAAAACUCUAAAGUGAAUUGAC
rnacentral:rRNA from 1 species